rnacentral:rRNA from 1 species
GACGAACGCUGGCGGCGUGCUUAACACAUGCAAGUCGAACGGAAAGGCCCUGCUUUUGUGGGGUGCUCGAGUGGCGAACGGGUGAGUAACACGUGAGUAACCUGCCCUUGACUUUGGGAUAACUUCAGGAAACUGGGGCUAUUACCGGAUAGGAGCUCUUGCUGCAUGUUGGGGGUUGGAAAGUUUCGGCGGUUGGGGUUGGACUCGCGGCUUAUCCGCUGGUUGGUGGGGUAGUGGCUUACCAGGGCUGUGACGGGUAGCCGGCCUGGGAGGGGGACCGGCCACAUUGGGUCUGAGAUACGGCCCAGACUCCUACGGGAGGCAGCAGUGGGGAAUAUUGCACAAUGGGCGGAAGCCUGAUGCAGCAACGCCGCGUGCGGGAUGACGGCCUUCGGGUUGUAAACCGCUUUCGCCUGUGACGAAGCGUGAGUGACGGUAAUGGGUAAAGAAGCACCGGCUAACUACGUG